rnacentral:rRNA from 1 species
GACGAACGCUGGCGGCGUGCCUAAUACAUGCAAGUAGAACGCUGAAGGAGGAGCUUGCUUCUCUGGAUGAGUUGCGAACGGGUGAGUAACGCGUAGGUAACCUGCCUGGUAGCGGGGGAUAACUAUUGGAAACGAUAGCUAAUACCGCAUAAGAGUAGAUGUUGCAUGACAUUUGCUUAAAAGGUGCACUUGCAUCACUACCAGAUGGACCUGCGUUGUAUUAGCUAGUUGGUGGGGUAACGGCUUACCAAGGCGACGAUACAUAGCCGACCUGAGAGGGUGAUCGGCCACACUGGGACUGAGACACGGCCCAGACUCCUACGGGAGGCAGCAGUAGGGAAUCUUCGGCAAUGGACGGAAGUCUGACCGAGCAACGCCGCGUGAGUGAAGAAGGUUUUCGGAUCGUAAAGCUCUGUUGUAAGAGAAGAACGAGUGUGAGAGUGGAAAGUUCACACUGUGACGGUAUCUUACCAGAAAGGGACGGCUAACUACGUG